CGCGGCGUAGCUCAGAUGGAUAGAGCGCCCUGCUUUCGACGUGUGUGCUUGGUGACACUUGCAUAUACCGGCAGGGAGGACGCGGGUUCAAGGCCCGCCGCCGUGCCCA
rnacentral:tRNA from 1 species